GAGAAAGGGUGAGUGUGCAGUUUGAAGAAGGGAAAAGGGAAGAACGAGUGAUUGAAGGAAAUUGGAAUUCUGACACUUCAGCACCCCUCAGUACCCAGAAAGAGCAGAAUCGAGUGUCUCGUAAGUCCCACCUUCUCAGAUUUCUGCCUGCUGGAAUGUUGCAAUCACACACACUCAAAAAUGCUCGCAUGCAAGCAUGCACACAUGCACAUGGAUGCCCAUAGAUAAAUUACAGAUCAUGAGUGACCGGUCCAAAGGAUCUCACAUGUCCAUUUCACACAUACACACACACACACACACACUCCAGUCUAUAGAGAGGAGAGUUUGGAAUUGUUGAAGAAGUGCAAGUUAGUGGCAGCCUAUCCGUGCUCACUCACAGUUUUUCCACAGAAUCUUGACAAUAGUCUCAUCCAACCUCACUUUGUUUUAUUAUAACGCAUAAAUCUUCUUGUUACACAACUGAGCUUUACAUGCUUUGUGCCUGUAAGUACUGAAUGUUACAUAAGAGCCUAAUGAUGCAAUUUAUAAUUAUAACAGCUCAAGAAAAACUGAGUCGGCAUUAAAAGCAGCACAGAUUUUCUUCUGUCAUUUAGGGGCAGGGAUAGCUCAGUAGGUAGCAUGGUCGCCCGAUGAUCGGAAGGCCGGGGGUUUGAAUCUACUGAACACCUACCUUGAGGUACCCCUGAGCAAGGUGCCGUCUCUAGACACUGCUCCCCGGGUGCCUGAUGAGUGGCUGCCCACUGCUUCACUGAGUGAAUGGGUUAAAUGCAGAGAGAGUAAUUUCCCCAUGGGGAUCAAUAAAGUAUACAUUAUUAUUAUUCAAGCCUAUCUCCCGGUAUUAAUCUAGUGCUAGUCUUGAGCUAAUCUGUAAGAAGCUGAAAGAGGGAAAGAAAUCAAUUAUUCCAAUAGGCAAAAAUAGUACAAUAAAACAGUAUACUGAUUAUCCCUAAUAGCUCUACUUUUAGCUAUUUUCAUGUUUUACUAGAGGGAUCACAUGGUCAUCCAAGAGCUGAUAAAAUUAACCGCUCGCACUUAUAAAAUCUCCAGUAAAGAAAAUUGGUGGAUUAACUCAAAAAUGGCAGUCAGUGUGGAAAGCAUGGCUGCUUCCCAGUUCUUGGAAAAGUGAGGCUUGAGAAAGCGAGGCUUUCAUUUGACAGAUGCUGCAUGUUAUACGCACACAACUGCAAAGAUGCAAAGCCAAGUACAAGGAUGUAAAUUUAUGACAUGCACAAUCCCUGAAAGGGUUUGAAAACCCACUCAUGGAUACCGGACAUAGAGUCCAUGCACAGCGUGCUAUUUCAAAUGCAAAACUACACAGAUCUUUUCUGGCCCUCCGGCCUGUCUGUCUCUCUGUAUGUCUAUCCAUCUUUCCCCUUCUGUCUUUCUUUCUCCACUAUCCUCCGUAGGCUGAAUAGUUUCUCAUUAAUUAAUUAACAUUCCUAUGCCACUGUGUUUUCUGAGGGGCCUUUGUUAUAGCCCCACAAAAACUCUUUCAGAGCUGUUCUUCACAAUGUCUCCCUCUCUGUGUGUUGCUCACGCUCUCUCUCUCUCUCUCUCUCUCUCUCUCUCUCUCUCUCUCUCUCUCUCUCUCUGAUACUCUCUCUCUCUUCUCUCUUUUCUUCUUCUUUGUAGUGGAAAGCGGGUUACGGCUGUGUAUUGUCAGUUUUACAAUGUUGCGUGAGUUACUACGAAGUCUUUUUUAUUCUUCAGUACCUCAAAUGCACAUAAAAAGACUGUUCACAGGCACACCUUGUGUGAUCAUACAGUACACCCACAUACAGCGUGUGCGCACACACACACAUAUAUGCACAUUAAACAUACACACGCUCUUCAUACACCUGCAAACUUCUCCACUCCCUGAGCUCUCCACCUCUCCCUUUUUUUGCGCGUCGAGCUUUGUCAUCUUUUUAAAUACUCUAAUUGUCUGGCCUCAGGGGAGCCCUAAAACACACAAAGUGUAAAAACCUGCGUGUCUGGUCUCCUGCCUGUCUCCGUGCCUUUCUCUGUCUUUAUCUGUUAAUGGUCUCUUUGGUCUCAUUUUUAUACUUAGUCACAAAUAGAAUAGUUUUCUCUGUGGUGGGGUCGGGUGGGCUGUCCCGGGCUCUGUGGGGCCGGGCGGCGCUGCUGCACUGGGCCCCGGUCCGGAUGGGCCUGGGCCCCCUUUCCCUGGCGGGUUGCAGAGUAUGGGGGUGCCUACUGGGGUCAGCGGGGAGCUGGCCCCAGGGAGGGGUCACUUGCCCCUCCCUUCCUUCCCUCCCCAUCUCCAGCUGCCUCCCUCUUCCCGCUUCACCACAAUCACCCACACAUGCAGGGCCUUGGGGUAAGGGUGUGUCACCAGGGUGCAGAGGAGGCAUCCCCCCCCCUCUGUCCCCUUCUGGCUGCCUGUGCCUCAAUUUUAUCUCACAACUUAGACAUUCACAUUACUCACACUCUCAUAACACAUACAUAUAGAAUCUUGGGGGUGGGCACGCAACACGGACUCCAAAAGACCAUCAGGGUGUACACCUCACCCCUGGCAUCGUUGCCCACCUCUCAAUUAUAAAUACACGUAGACAUUGAGGGCUAGCAGGAGGGGCUAUGCGCUUACCUGCUGCUCUCUGGCAGGUAGCUCCAUGCCCUCCUGGGUUUUAAAUGCACCUUAGAACACACAUGCAUCAACACUACAUAUGAGCGGGCGGAGGGAGG
ensembl:lncRNA